rnacentral:rRNA from 1 species
UACGGAGGGGGCUAGCGUUGUUCGGAAUUACUGGGCGUAAAGCGCACGUAGGCGGCUUUGUAAGUUAGAGGUGAAAGCCUGGAGCUCAACUCCAGAAUUGCCUUUAAGACUGCAUCGCUUGAAUCAUGGAGAGGCGGGUGGAAUUCCGAGUGGAGAGGUGAAAUUCGUAGAUAUUCGGAAGAACACCAGUGGCGAAGGCGGCCCGCUGGACAUGUAUUGACGCUGAGGUGCGAAAGCGUGGGGAGCAAACAGG